ensembl:lncRNA
CAAUAGUGAUACCAAAAUGAGUAACCUACUUAGUAUUCAUCAAUCAGGGAUGCCAUGGUACAUUUAAUUUAGCUCUGUUUAUGGUUCCCUGGUUUACAUAGUGACCGUGAAAAGCUUUGUUUAUGUAGCAUGCUAGCAAUUAAGACACCUUUAAGCAUUGUUUUUAGUUGUGUUAGUGAAACUGGUUCUUUUCUUAACUAAUAAUGAAUAAUAAUAAUAAUGAGUCUUUACUGGGCACAUAUACAUUACAGCACAGUGAAAUUCUUUUUUCUUAGCAUACCCCGCCAUGAUAUGGUGCCCCUGGAGCAGAGAGGCCUUGCUCAAGGUCCCAACAGUGGCAGCUUGGCAGUUCUGGGGCUUGAACCCCGACCUUCCGAUCAGUAACCCAGAGCCUGGCAGUGCUGGGGUUUGAACUCUGACCUUCUGAUCAGUAACCCAGAGCCUGGCAGUGCUGGGGCUUGAACCCUGACCUUCUGAUCAGUAACUCAGAGCCUGGCAGUGCUGGGACUUGAACCCCCAGACGUUUUGAUCAGUAACCCAGAGCCUGGCAGUGCUGGGGCUUGAACCCCCAGACCUUUCGAUCAGUAACCCAGAGCCUGGCAGUGCUGGGGCUUGAACCUCGGGAUCUGUAACCCAGAGCCUUAACCGUCAAGCCACAACUGCUCCUGAUCAGUGCAGAACAUCAAGAGGGUCACAGGGAGCCUGGAGCCUAUCCCAGAGGACUCGGGGUACAAGGCGGGGGACAUCCUGGACGGGGUGCUAAUCCAUCGCAGAGCACAAUCACACACACUUACGGACAAUUUGGAAAGGCCAAUCAGUCUAAAUCGCAUGCCUUUGGACUGGGGGAGAAAACCGGAGUACCCAGAGGAAACCCCCAAAGCAUAGGGAGAACAUGCAAACUCCACACACACAGGGUUGAGACAAGAUUCAAACCCCCAACCCCUUUAGGUGUGAGGCAAACGUGCUAACCGCUAAGCCACCAUGCCCUCCAGAGCUGAUUAUAUACAUGUCAAAUAACAUUUUCACAGUAAUCUUUUAAUACUCAUGUUCACAAAGUGUCAAUGUCAAACAAAUGCCUUCCUUAAUUUGUUUAAUCAUAUUUUAUUGGCUACCAGCUGCUACGAUGAGAAGCAGAAUUCACCAGUAUCAUUAUCAUGCUUUAUUUCUGAAUAGAUCUUCUUACAAGGUAAGAUUUCAUUUCUGUUCUAUCACUAUUAGCAUGUAAUUUUAAGCAUUUCCAUUGGAACUGUCAUAAAUGCGUUUUAUUUCCUACGCCUAUAAAGGUUAUUCUCAGUUUAAAAAAAAAAAAUACAAAUUUAAUCCUUGACAAUCGUUGUCAACGAAUUGUUUUCCUGUAACUGCACACUCCCAAGUGUUAAUCUUCUAGAAAUAGCCGAGUGGAUAAAGAAAAGAGUUUCCGCGCAUCUUCAAAUCCUGGUUUGGAUGAAAGCUGCAGAAAAAUGAUGCAUUUGAACGACACCAUUUUUAGUGUAAAAAUAUAUAUUUGGAUAAGGAGUCAUAGACAGGAGGUCUUCUGUUGGAAAGUGUGAAUCUGUGACUGCCUGCAACAUGCAAAAAGUCCUAUCUCAAUUUACUCGAGCAGAAAGUCUCCUGAACGUAGUGGAGAAAAGGUCAGAACAAAUUCUGCUUCAAAGAACAGCUAAUUUAGCGCUGAGCUAUGGAUUGAACUGUCCCACAUCACAUCUGACUGGUCUUACAGUUGCCUCCUAAUCACUGAUUCUGCUACCAAAGACUGCUUUAAUGUUUCCUCAUUAAGCAAAGCAGUGAAAAUUAUUCUCAGUGGGCACUCACCACUUAUAGCUGUUUGAGAAAUUCAUGUAUAUUUAUUGGAACACUGUAGGAUCUGCGUAAUCUUCACUUCACUUAUACAUUUUCAAUUUCUGUGAUACUGUAAUAGCAUUUCCAUUAAACCGCAUCAAAUGAUAAUGCCAAUCAAAGUUUUUUUUAAAGCAUUGUCAUCUCGUAAGGCAUAACACCUGGUGU